UCCCUGGUGGACUAGAGGUUAGGCCACAGCACUCUCGCCACUGCAGCCCGAGUUCGAUUCCCGGCCAGCCAC